rnacentral:rRNA from 1 species
UGGGGAAUAUUGGACAAUGGGGGCAACCCUGAUCCAGCCAUGCCGCGUGAGUGAUGAAGGCCUUAGGGUUGUAAAGCUCUUUCGCUCGCGACGAUGAUGACGGUAGCGAGAGAAGAAGCCCCGGCUAACUUCGUGCCAGCAGCCGCGGUAAUACGAAGGGGGCUAGCGUUGUUCGGAAUUACUGGGCGUAAAGCGCACGCAGGCGGUGAUCCAAGUCAGAAGUGAAAGCCCUGGGCUCAACCCGGGAACUGCUUUUGAUACUGGGUUACUGGAAUCACGGAGAGGGUAGGGGAAUUCCGAGUGUAGAGGUGAAAUUCGUAGAUAUUCGGAAGAACACCAGUGGCGAAGGCGCCUACCUGGCCGUCGAUUGACGCUCAUGUGCGAAAGCGUGGGGAGCAAACA